AUGAAUAGACAAGGAAGGUCUACCUCCACACCCCCAGAAAAGAAGAAAUGCUCACCGCAAGUCCAUCUCCUUUCUGGAGUCUUCCGACUAACCAAGGAUUGGAAAGAAAAGUUUCAUGACUCAGCCUAUAACCCUUCUGGACACCUAUACACACUGGCAACAAUGUGCCUGAGGAAGGCUGACCUUUACCACCGGACAGUGUCGUCUCCUGUGACAUGUUUUCCAGUCAAACCGAAGUCCACCGCAGUUUGCAGCUACUUGGAGCUCAUAUUGGAUCUGAUGAAAUGGGAAUCUACAGGAUCUACAUAUCUGAGAUAGACCAAGACUCACAUCCACGGACACACUCAGCCAACCAGAGGACCUGCGGAACUCUGACAGAACAUUGUCCUCUCUGACAGAACAAAGAUGCCAAAAAUCUGGUAGGAGAAAGGUAAAAAGGAAGACGAAAAGGCAAAACAGUGCAGGACUGGUCCCGUGGGGAGGGAGCGGCAAAGGAGGACUGGCGCUCAUUCGCUGGGUCUCCCCCUCUCCAAUAGAGAGGCCAGCGAGACAGAGGGGGAGACUCCGAGGCUCGGAUCUGUACAGAGCAGCCCUUGACUGACAGAACUAAGUUAAACAGGCACAGAGGGUCCCUGCAACACCCAGCCUGAGACCUGAGCCGGGAGCUGGGGCUGCGAAAGGCUGCCUGAGCUGGGUGGAGGACGAGGACAGCUGCACUGAGGCAGCCCCAGGGGACUGCAGGGUGCUGCGCAACGUGGAUGAGUGGGUGCACAGGACAGAACAACCUGGGUCCUCCAUAAAACAGCACGGCUGAUGUGCCCUGGGGGGAAGAGUGCAUACCCCCAUCUCUGAAAACCCACGGAAGGUUUUCAGCAAGGAGAGGCAGGGCUCAGGUGCAGCUGCCAUAUCCUCCGGCGCUUGGCACCCAGGUGGGGGCGGGGGGCGAAACCUGAAUCCACGCCUGGGGGCUCGGCACCCUCAGAGGCCAGACAGUGACUUGUUUGCAGCCCAAGUCAGGAUCCUUCCGCCCUGGUGCCUCGCAAAGUUCGCACUGCCCGAACAA
rnacentral:lncRNA from 1 species